UACGUAGGGUGCGAGCGUUAAUCGGAAUUACUGGGCGUAAAGCGUGCGCAGGCGGUUCGUUAAGUUUGUUGUGAAAGCCCCGGGCUCAACCUGGGAACUGCAUUUGAUACUGGCGUGCUUGAGGACUGGAGAGGAGACUGGAAUUCAUGGUGUAGCAGUGAAAUGCGUAGAGAUCAUGAGGAAGACCAGUGGCGAAGGCGGGUCUCUGGACAGUUCCUGACACUGAGGCACGAAGGCCAGGGGAGCAAACGGG
rnacentral:rRNA from 1 species